rnacentral:rRNA from 1 species
GAUGAACGCUAGCGGCAGGCCUAAUACAUGCAAGUCGAACGGGGGUAGCAAUGCCCCAGUGGCGCACGGGUGCGUAACGCGUAGGCAAUCUGCCUAUCUCUGGGGGAUAGCCCGCCGAAAGGUGGAUUAAUACCGCAUAACACUGCAGGGUGGCAUCACCUAACAGUUAAAGAAUUUCGGAGAUAGAUGAGCCUGCGUGCCAUUAGCUAGUUGGUGCGGUAACGGCGCACCAAGGCGACGAUGGCUAGGGGAGCUGAGAGGCCGAUCCCCCACACUGGCACUGAGAUACGGGCCAGACUCCUACGGGAGGCAGCAGUAGGGAAUAUUGGGCAAUGGGCGCGAGCCUGACCCAGCCAUGCCGCGUGACGGAUGAAGGCCUUCUGGGUUGUAAACGUCUUUUGCCCGGGAAGAAAAAGCCCUUGCGAGGGAAAUCGACGGUACCGGGUGAAUAAGCACCGGCUAACUCCGUGCCAGCCGCCGCAGUAAAAC